GCCUCCGUAGCUCAGUUGGUUAGAGCACCUGACUCUUAAUCAGGGUGUCCAGGGUUCGAAUCCCUGCGGGGGUA
rnacentral:tRNA from 1 species